rnacentral:misc_RNA from 1 species
AAGUCGUAACAAGGUUUCCGUAGGUGAACCUGCGGAAGGAUCAUUAUCGAAAUAAAUUUCAUCCUCGCUGUUGCGGCCGAGAGGCCUGCACGCUUGGAAUGUGAUUCUCACACCAGUGCACCUUCGGGCUUCGGCCCGCCAUUAUACAAACAUCCUUACGUGUCAGAAUGUAACACCUUUUUGUAAUAACAAAAACACAACUUUCAACAACGGAUCUCUUGGCUCUC